CAUUUAUGGAGACACUAUGUGUUUGUUUAAAUGGUAUCUAGUGUGUUCAUAGGGGAUCCUGAGUGUGUAUGUCAGAAAUGUAGUGUGUGUGUAAGUGGUGCAGCGUCUGUGUGUAGGGAAUCUAGUGUGUGUUUGAAGGACUCAGGAGUGCGUAUAGGAGAUCUAGUGAGUGUGUGAGUGGUGCAGUGUGUUUGGGGGGUGCUGUGUGUGUGAGGGGUGUAGUGUGCAUUUGUGAGGAGUAUAGUGUGUGUGGGAGGGUGGUGUGUGUGGGGGGGGUGCAGUAUGUGUGUGUGAGGGUGCUGUGUGUGAGGCCGCUGUGUGUUAGGGCACUGUGUG